AUUGAACGCUGGCGGCAGGCCUAACACAUGCAAGUCGAGCGGAUGAAGGGAGCUUGCUCCUGGAUUCAGCGGCGGACGGGUGAGUAAUGCCUAGGAAUCUGCCUGGUAGUGGGGGAUAACGUCCGGAAACGGGCGCUAAUACCGCAUACGUCCUGAGGGAGAAAGUGGGGGAUCUUCGGACCUCACGCUAUCAGAUGAGCCUAGGUCGGAUUUGCUAGUUGGUGGGGUAAAGGCCUACCAAGGCGACGAUCCGUAACUGGUCUGAGAGGAUGAUCAGUCACACUGGAACUGAGACACGGUCCAGACUCCUACGGGAGGCAGCAGUGGGGAAUAUUGGACAAUGGGCGAAAGCCUGAUCCAGCCAUGCCGCGUGUGUGAAGAAGGUCUUCGGAUUGUAAAGCACUUUAAGUUGGGAGGAAGGGCAGUAAGUUAAUACCUUGCUGUUUUGACAUUACCAACAGAAUAAGCACCGGCUAACUUCGUG
rnacentral:rRNA from 1 species